rnacentral:rRNA from 1 species
CCUACGGGAGGCUGCAGUAGGGAAUUUUCGGCAAUGGGGGGAACCCUGACCGAGCAACGCCGCGUGAACGAAGAAGUUAUUCGUAAUGUAAAGUUCUUUUAACAGGGAAGAAAGAGAAAUUUGACGGUACCUGAAGAAUAAGCUACGGCCAACUACGUGAGCGAAGCCGCGUUAAUACGUAGGGAGCGAGGGUAAUCCGGAAUUAUUGGGCGUAAAGGGUGCGUAGGCGGACUGUUAAGUCAGCGGUAAAAGCCCGGGGCUCAACCCCGGCGAGCCGUUGAAACUGGCUGUCUUGAGAUGUCGAGAGGUAUGCGGAAUGCGCAGUGUAGCGGUGAAAUGCUUAGAUAGUGCGCAGAACUCCGAUUGCGAAGGCAGCAUACCGGCGGCGAUCUGACGCUGAGGCACGAAAGCGUGGGUAUCGAACAGGAUUAGAUACCCUGGUAGUC